GACUGAGCAGAGCUCUAGAAGGGCCUGCGAGCUCACACAGACGGCGAACCGGACGCGACCCAGAAGCGCACGAGUCUGCGGCCAUGCGCGCUCCGAUGGCCCCCAGAGGCUGAGCGCAGGGUGGGUGGAGGCAGCGGCGCGGGCCCCAGAACCGACCUGCUGUUUUGUACGGUAGGGAGAAGGAAGAUGCCCAAACGAAGCUGAUCUUGGGGGAAGGAGGCUGGGGCGCGCCCUCCCCACGCCUGAGCGCAGCGCAGCGAGUUUAGCUCGACCCGGCUGAGCCCCUGGCGCGCUCUCCAGCGCGAACCCGCGGCCCCUCGGGAAAGCGCAGUCGGAAAGUUGUCGGCGCCGGUGUCCUGAGCGCCCUGUUGUGUAACCUCGGCGCUGCCAGCCGGACCGGGAAGUUGCUGGUUAUCCGGCCAGCCCGGUUCGGUCGCGGCCGGGGGUGGCUUUCAUGGCCCGCGGCGAACGCGGGGCCGGAGCCGGCGUGGGCGAGUCCCCGCGCGCCCCCUCCCGCAGGGAUCCUCGGCUCCCGCUUCAGUCCGCUCGUCCGCCUUUCCGAUGCUCGCUGCGCCCUUCGCCGCCGCCGCCCUCUCGCCGCCGCUUGCCCCUUGGAGCCGCCGCUUAAGUCGGGGAGGAGAGAAUGACCGAGGUGCUGUGGCCGGCGGUCCCCAACGGGACGGACGCUGCCUUCUUGGCCGGCCCGGGCUCGCCCUGGGGGAACAGCACAGUCGCCUCUACCGCCGCCGUCGCCGCCGGCCCGUACAAAUGCGCACUGACCAAGACAGGCUUCCAGUUCUACUACCUGCCGACUGUCUACAUCUUGGUGUUCAUUAUCGGCUUCCUGGGCAACAGCGUGGCCAUCUGGAUGUUCGUCUUCCACAUGAAGCCGUGGAGCGGAAUCUCCGUGUACAUGUUCAACUUGGCCCUGGCCGACUUCUUGUACGUGCUGACCCUGCCAGCGCUCAUCUUCUACUACUUCAAUAAGACAGACUGGAUUUUCGGGGAUGCCAUGUGCAAGCUGCAGAGGUUCAUCUUCCACGUGAACCUGUAUGGCAGCAUCUUGUUUCUAACCUGCAUCAGCGCGCACCGGUACAGCGGGGUGGUGUACCCGCUCAAGUCCCUGGGCCGACUCAAGAAGAAGAACGCGGUCUACAUCAGCGUGCUGGUGUGGCUUAUCGUGGUGGUGGUGAUCUCCCCCAUCCUCUUCUACUCGGGCACCGGGAUCCGGAAAAACAAAACCAUCACCUGCUAUGACACCACCUCAGAUGAGUACCUACGAAGUUAUUUCAUCUACAGCAUGUGCACGACCGUGGCCAUGUUCUGUGUCCCCUUGGUGCUGAUUUUGGGUUGUUACGGAUUAAUUGUGAGAGCUUUGAUUUACAAAGACCUGGACAACUCGCCUCUGAGAAGGAAAUCCAUUUACCUGGUGAUUAUUGUACUGACUGUUUUUGCUGUGUCUUACAUCCCUUUCCACGUGAUGAAAACAAUGAAUUUGAGGGCCCGGCUGGAUUUUCAGGCCCCAGGAAUGUGUGCUUUCAAUGACAGGGUUUAUGCCACUUAUCAGGUGACAAGAGGUCUAGCAAGUCUCAACAGCUGUGUGGACCCCAUUCUCUAUUUCUUGGCAGGAGAUACUUUCAGAAGGAGACUCUCCCGAGCCACCAGGAAAGCUUCCAGAAGAAGUGAGGCAAAUUUGCAAUCCAAGAGUGAAGACAUGACCCUCAAUAUUUUAUCCGAGUUCAAGCAAAAUGGAGAUACAAGCUUGUGAAGAGGCCAGAAUCCCCAAACACCCACUUUUGUAACAUGGUAGGAUGCUAAAUAGAGCCGAGUGCUUUUUUCCCCUUUUAUUUAAGUUUCUAGUAAGUUUAGAGAAAAUUCAAACUAAGAAAGCAGUAAGUCAAAAAAAAAAAAAAAUAGAACUGGAAAUGCCUACACCCACACUUAGCUUGUUUGGGUUUGCUUUCAAGGACUUCCUUCUUUCUAACCAGGAGUAUGUAAAAUAAAAUAAUAUCCUACUUAAACAUUUACUUUCUCUUCUUUAAAAUUUACAAGCUCUUCUGUUUAAAGUGCACAUGAGUAAUGGAACUAUUUUGAUAUUAAUACUUUCUCCAAGAAAACUGACCACCUGCAACAUGAAUUUGUGAUUCGUCUCGUCUUUCAUGUUUUGAAUAAUCUGAGGUCUGAGGAUGCCAGCCUGGUUUACAGUGUGUGUUAAGUACGUUGUUUCAGCUUCCAGAGAACCUUCUUUUGGAGUCUGGAUCCAAUGUGGAGGUGGGCAGUGACUAGAAAUGCCCUUUUACUUCUUGGUGUGCAUUUUCCAGAGUGUUUCUUCUUUAGCUUCAUAUAUAACAUAGUGGACAAUGAUGACAUGCAGAUGCAUGCCAAACAGUUACAAGAAUGACCAACUCCUUCUAGGCACAAAUAGGUCUCUGGGAUGAGUCUGCUAAUGGUGAAAACAUACAGAGGGUCAAGAUGAUCUAUUGGCUGAAAAUCUGAUUCAUGACAUAGGAUGUAAGUAGGUAUUUUAAUAGUAAAUGUAGAAAUCUACUGGCAUGUUGAUAAAUGAAGAACUAAAAUUAUAGAACCUAUCAGUUAACUAAAUUACACACUACAAAACUGUUUGACUGCUGAGAUCAAGGUAUUUUAUGGCUCAUCUGCUGGCAUCUUUGACUCUUUGCACAUCAGUGUGUGUUUGCAUGGACACAAUAAAAAGACAAACCAAGAAGAGAUAUAGCAUGAGAGUGGGAUUUGGAGUUAAAACCAUAACACUGUCACUCGGCCAGCUGUGGAACUCUCGACCCUAUCAAGACCACUCUCUGUAAGUUAAAAGGGUUGGAUGACAUCCAACUGUUGGAGCCUUAGGGAAUGUGGUGAAGCAUUAAAACUACAGGCAGCCAGAGGUGCAUGAAAUCUGCUACUGUAUUUUCCAGGAUUCUUCAGUUCCAGUCUUUGGCUGAAAAUUCGUACAAAGUUCACCAACUGUGAUAUGGCUAUGAAAUGUAAGUUUUCUCAGUCUCCUUGGGGCAGUGCACUUAUACUGCCUUUGGAAACAGAUGUCAGUGCUUACAGCAGCUGGAAUUGGACUAGUGACAAUAAAGAUGUGUAACUAGUUAGAGAUAUAGUGAAGCUUUAACUUUGCUGGUCAAAUUGUAACUAUUAUGAUAGUAUUUAUUGAUGAAGCUCAUAGUCCUUCAGUUGUACAGACUGAAAAACUUUCUUGAAAGAUCCAACAUACCAAUGUAAAUUAUAUUUAUUACAAUGUAUAAUAUUAAUAUGUCACACUAGUGUAUUUUACAUAAUAUAUGAUACAUAAUAGAGUUCCUGUAUAUUAUGAUGCUUUUCAAAUAUCAGUAUCUUGAAAUGUUUAAGUCUUCAGAUUUUUUAAUCUAAUCUUGUUUUGUGAUAUAAGUGAUUAAUUUUCUCUAGAAAUGCUUUUGCACGUUUAUCUUUUUAUUUAGGGUGCUUUCUAUAUAGACACAAGUUGGUGUCAAACUGUCAUAAGAUCGAUAGUAAAUACAAAAAUGUAUUGUCUACAUUUUAUAUAAUAUUAUAGAAAAGUCUGUAUUGUCUUUUCAACAUGCUUAAAAUCGUGUCCCCAAAUACAGUCAGAGUUUCCCAUUUCCAAAUGCAAAAGGCUUGUCCUAAACUCAGAGUAGCUGUUUUAGAAGUCUGGUGGGAUGGACAUUGCAGAUACAACAUUAGAAUUUAAGGAAAUACUUCAGGGAGAUGGGGAGAGAAAGAGGCAGCUGGUGUAAUCAGUUACUGUGUUCAAUUCUGCUUCAAUGCUUAUGUUACCGUUUCUUCUUAAGAUGAAAUAGUGUAAUCUUAAUUUCUUUGAGAUGGAGUUUCUAAGUAACUCACUACCAGCAAUCCAACACUGCUAACUUUAAUGUUUUCUUUGUACAUUUGAUAACUUUAAGUACAAGUUUUACAGUGAUAACUGUAUAUUAUUUGGAUGCUGAAUCCUGUUAAAAUGUUUUAAUUCUGUUGUACACUGCAUUAUAUACAUCAUUACAAAUUAAUAUGAAGGGGAAUAUAUGUUACAUAUCAAAAAUUGUGAAUUUGAAUUCUGGUAUGUUUUAGUGAUUUUGCAAAAAUGUUUAUUUUUAUAUUAUCUGUGAUUUUCAUGGUGGAUCAUUGAACUAGAUUUCUUUGUGAUUAAUAGUGCCAUUGAAUGAGCAGUAUGGAAACAGUGUUACUUGACAUUUUGAGCAUUCUCAGGUUUAUCUACAUCAAUGGUAGUUUAACAAAUUUCAGACUAAUUGUGCAUAAUUGUGUUAAAAAAGGAAUGUACAUUUCCUAUAAGUUUGCAUGCAGGACUCUGUAACUUCUAGUGUGUGUGUGUAUGUGUGUGUGUUUGUGUGUGUGUGUGUGUGUGUGUGUCUAAGGCAUGGCAGCCAACUUUGUAUCCGCUAUUGAAAAUAACGGCAGAGCUCUGAUAUAAUCGUGGUCAUUAGAAUUGUAGCUAUCAUAGAUAAUUAAAACUGAAAAAAAUCUCAAUAAAACUCUGAAAUGCA